rnacentral:tRNA from 1 species
UGGCUGAGCGGUAAAGCGCUUGGUUUCCGAACCGAACGUCCCGGGUUCGAAUCCCGG